AUCAACAUUUGAUUAUAUUAUCUGAGGACAUAAAGAAAAAAUAUGACACUCAGAAAGGAAUUCCUUAAUCACACUUAAUACUCAGAAAAUAAAAGCCACAGAGACAAAUGCUGGAUGUGUCCUUCCACACACUCUACAUGGAGGAGCAACCUUGGUUGACAGACUUUGAGAAGUCCUGUCCUACUAACUAGACUAUGGUCCAUGUACAGAUCACCAUUAGUCUGAUUCAUCCUACUCCUCCAUUCUGAUUCCAUGCUUAUGAGCCACUUCUGGGUGUGAUCUCUCCACAUCAGAAAAGAAUGCUAGGGUCUUACUAAGACAAGCAUUCCAUCUGUGUGACUGUUUUUCUCAUUGCAAGUAAAUAAUCUGGCAUUCUGGUUUUAUUAGCCUCAUGAAUGUCGUUAACAUGAGUCCACCCGAGAGAGAUGGAGCUGCCCUCUGAACGCUGGCAAAUCAGACCUCCAGGCUGGCUAAGCUGAGUGACCGACACUGUGCCAGACACAGUCAAAUAACCAAACCAACAAAUGCCUUACUACGAUGCCCAAAGAGGGAUGCAAUCUUUGAAGGGCCAGAGGGAAGAAUUCUGCCUACAUUCAGUCUCCACUGCCCUUGUAUGACUAUAAACCAAUAAUGUACAGAUUCAAAGGAAGAUGCUACAAGCAUUGUUGGGGAAACUACGGCAGAUGGACAGAAGGCUAGAAACCAAGGCUACAUUAUGUCAAGAGCCAGGUAUCCCUCAACCUGCGAACCCUGAGUCUACUAGAGGGAGGACCUCCAAGGUAAUCUUAGAAGGAGACAUUGCCCCUCGUGUUGAGAUUACAUUUUACAGGGGAUUUGAUCCUUCUGGAAUUACAGCCCCAUUAACCAAGUUGGCUUUCCAGGGGGAACAUCAAGAAUACUAAUCCUUAUCACAAAGGAUCACAAAUAUACCUUUAUAAAGCUAUUUAUAAUCAUCCUAUACCUAUCUCAUUGAUUCUGACAAGCCUCCAAUAAUAAAUCUCACCAAGAACAAACCUUGAAUCCUAAUGGAUUAAUCCUCCACUAACUUUUAAAAAUCUAUACUCACUACUAGUUUUCAAGUUUUUUAUUGGUCACUUCUCUUCAAGUUGAUUCCUCUUCAUAUUGGAUUUGCCCACUGUAGCCUUCCAUUGUUAUAAACGAAUUCCAAAAAUAGGCAAUCGGAGAAGGGGAAAAUGGUAGUACUCAGAUUAAUCAACUUUAAAUUCUGGAUUAUGUAUAAUCACAUUAACCUAUUUGGAAAUUUUUACACAACAAAAAUAAUUGUUUCUGCUACUUAUUCUUUUGCUUUUAUAAUAAUUAGAAUGCUUCCUAUUGUGCUAUAUGGUUUUAAAAUAAUUACAGCAAGUCAAUAAUAGUCAUUUAAAAUGUAAUGAAUUGACGGCUAAUCUACACACCCAUUCGAUCUUUCCGCAAGCAUUCACUUAUCAAAUACAUUCAAUUAUUUCCAUACUCUGAAUUAGUCUACAAAUAUGAGUUUCUGCCAUUUCACAUUUUAAUGGAAGUCCUCAGUCUCAAAAUGUCCAAACCAAAACUCAUCUGGCACAGUCUCCACCUUGUCCUAUAUUCCCUGUUUCAGGGAAUAAAAACACAAUCCACUGAGUCAAAACAUUUGCUUUUCAUGACUCUCUCCUUCUGCCUCACCCCUCAUUACCAUUCAGUUUUUAAUUUCUGUAGAUUUUGUCUCUGAUAAUUUACCAAGCCUAUAAUUUAUACCUAUUUACAUUGCUUUAGAUUAGGGUGCCCUCUCUUGCCUGGAGGACCUCACAGCUCACACUGGCAUCUUCCUCUGAUCUCAGCCCCUCUUCUCUCCGCAUCACCACCAGAGUUAGCCUUCUAAAAUCCAAAUCUAACCAGCUCACUCCCAAACUGAUCCUUUGUUAAGCUCUUUCAGUUUAAUUCAAUUCAUAGGCACUGUGACAGAGGUAUAAAAUAAAGUUCAAAACCCAUUAUGAAAAAUACAAGAUUUAAUGAUUUCCCAAACUGUAGCUUUCCAGCCUAUUUCCUGUCAUAUGACUACAUGUGUUCAAUCAUAACAGCUUCUAUAGAGUUCUUUAUGGCUGUUCUGCCCCUGUGCCUAGAACGUCCCUCUCCACUUUAUCCAUCUUCUCAGUUCUUUCUCAUCCUUCAAGAUGUAAAGGGUUCCUGUGCUCUCAGCAUAUAAUCUUGAGCCUUGACAAUGAGUCUGGUGUCCCAACUCUAUGACACCAGGACAUUCUGUACCUGCUUCUUCCACAGCAUGCAUCACACUAGUUACAACUGCUGCUUUGCACAUGUCGGUCUCCACUCCUGCCUUUCCCCACACUCGGACUGGGAGAUCCUUGAUGGCAAGUAUCAUGAGUGAUAUCAUCUGUGAUCUCUAAUACCCUGCUCAUGAGCAGUUAUAUAGUAGAUAAUAAAUAUGUGCCAAGUGACUAGAUGGGACAAUUUUCUUGUUGUGCCAUGGGUGUCACAAUUGGAAAUAUAAAUAACUCUAGAAGAAAAUAUAAAUUGAAAGGUUGUCAUGAGAGGUACAUAUUGGGUAUUUGAGAGAUUAAAUAAACCCUAGAGAAGUGUGAGAGGAUACAAGUCAAGUGUGAGAGAACACAAGUCAUUGUCAUUGGUAUGACAAUGAAGACAACAAAAGAGAUACGUAUCUAGCCUACUUAGUUAUUGGUAGUGCUGCUGUGGUUGGUGAUAUCCCCAAAGGUGGCACACUCCAUUAAUAGUAUAAAGCCAAAUUCAACCUCCAGGGUCCUCAUAAGAAAGAUUUUAUAUAAAUACAAGAUUUUCUCAUUCUUCUCUUGCAAUACUAGACCAAUCAAAAGCCUAAAACCUAAACACGUUUAUGGAGUAGGCAGGCUGUUACCCAUCAUUACAUCUUAAUCAAUCAUUGUUAACAUAUGGGAUGUACCUGUUCCUACAGCACUGAUACAAAUCAAAAGUAAUUACCUUUUAUAUUUUUAACUAAAAAAAAUGAAAGAUUAAAGAAAACUGUCUUGUUGAGUCUUUUCUUUGACAAAAGUCUGCUAAGAACAUGCAGGAAAGGCAGUCUAACAGAGUAAAAUGAAUCUUUUUUUUUUUUUUUUCAGUUAAAUGGCAACCAAAUUAACUAUGCCAAAUGCUCAACUAGGAAUUUUUUUUCUGUUGUUACCAAAGUAUCCUGAAUGCUAUAAACAUCUAUAAAAUCUCAAAUGCUUUAUAAUUUACCUACAAAAAAAUACAAGUCCAUAUGGAUUGCAGAGAAAUUACUAGAAAAAUCUAUUAGAAGAAAAGUUAGAGAAGUAACGACUAUUGAGAACUGUCUUCAAUCCAUAUUUCAAUUGGAAAAAUUAUCUAUAGGUAUAUCGAAGUUAUUUGCUUUAUCCUCUGUACAUAUAAACUUUUCCUCAUUUCGUUCUAAUAUUAAGGCAGCUAUGUUAAUAACCAAGAAACGAAGCAAUAAGUGAAAGGUCUGUCCAGUCCAUAAUUUUUUUUUUUUUUUGCCAUUUCUAAUGGCUCCAAUUCCAGAAAACACAUAUAAAAAGUAGACAGAAGUUGCCUUUUGCUAGCCUCAGUCAACUCUGAGACCUGAAGGCCUAGUUAAGAGAGUGAACUCUCCCUUCCAACAAACCACCCUUUUCUGUUCAAGAGGCACACGCACUUUGCACUGCCUCUGGAUAGAGUCAACACACUCACUGGCUUUGCCAUGGUAGGCCUACAUGACAGAAUCAUCUCCUUCUUCAGUUUUUCCUUUCCUUAAUGUUUAUUUUUCCUUCCUGUGAAGGCAGAAACCAUUUGAUCCCUGAAUACUUUUCGUGGUGUAAACAGCUUUAGCAUCUAUUGCAUAAUGAUGGUUAAAGUAAUUAAUCAAGGAGGCCAUUAGUCUGGGGUGGCUCUAAUGCCUUGGUAGCUUACACAAGCAAACCAAAACCUAAGCCAGAGUCAGUGCCCUUGGAUCCAAGAAAGUGAAACUUAAGAACAACCAAUUACAGCCAACCAGGCUUUCCCAAAUAAGGCAACUGCUUAAACUACAGCUAAUCUAAUAAAUUCCUUGUUUCAGUGUCUUCUCUAUAAAAGCCUAAUCCCUAGCUCCUGACAGGGAAACGCUUCUAACCAACUUUAGUUUAGCACUACUCAAUUAGAAUCAAUGUAUGCUCAAAUAACCUCUUGAAUUUUCGAUGUGCUUCAGUUUACCUUUUAACAUGAUUACUACUUUAAGCUAUAAUUUAACAGAAAUCCGAUACUUAGAGAUUAUAAUUCUCAAAUAUACAGGUAAUAAAUCUCCAAAACAAUGA